rnacentral:rRNA from 1 species
GGGGGACGCAGUAGGAUAGGCGAAGCGUGCGAUUGGAUUGCACGUCUAAGCAGUAAGGCUGAGUAUUAGGCAAAUCCGGUACUCGUUAAGGCUGAGCUGUGAUGGGGAGAAGACAUUGUGUCUUCGAGUCGUUGAUUUCACACUGCCGAGAAAAGCCUCUAGAUAGAAAAUAGGUGCCCGUACCGCAAACCGACACAGGUAGUCAAGAUGAGAAUUCUAAGGUGAGCGAGCGAACUCUCGUUAAGGAACUCGGCAAAAUGACCCCGUAACUUCGGGAGAAGGGGUGCUCUUUAGGGUUAACGCCCAGAAGAGCCGCAGUGAAUAGGCCCAAGCGACUGUUUAUCAAAAACACAGGUCUCUGCUAAACCGUAAGGUGAUGUAUAGGGGCUGACGCCUGCCCGGUGCUGGAAGGUUAAGAGGAGUGGUUAGCUUCUGCGAAGCUACGAAUCGAAGCCCCAGUAAACGGCGGCCGUAACUAUAACGGUCCUAAGGUAGCGAAAUUCCUUGUCGGGUAAGUUCCGACCCGCACGAAAGGCGUAACGAUUUGGGCACUGUCUCAACGAGAGACUCGGUGAAAUCAUAGUACCUGUGAAGAUGCAGGUUACCCGCGACAGGACGGAAAGACCCCGUGGAGCUUUACUGUAGCCUGAUAUUGAAAUUCGGCACAGCUUGUACAGGAUAGGUAGGAGCCUUUGAAACGCGAGCGCUAGCUUACGUGGAGGCGCUGGUGGGAUACUACCCUAGCUGUGUUGGCUUUCUAACCCGCACCACUUAUCGUGGUGGGAGACAGUGUCAGGCGGGCAGUUUGACUGGGGCGGUCGCCUCCUAAAAGGUAACGGAGGCGCUCAAAGGUUCCCUCAGAAUGGUUGGAAAUCAUUCAUAGAGUGUAAAGGCAUAAGGGAGCUUGACUGCGAGACCUACAAGUCGAGCAGGGUCGAAAGACGGACUUAGUGAUCCGGUGGUUCCGCAUGGAAGGGCCAUCGCUCAACGGAUAAAAGCUACCCCGGGGAUAACAGGCUUAUCUCCCCCAAGAGUUCACAUCGACGGGGAGGUUUGGCACCUCGAUGUCGGCUCAUCGCAUCCUGGGGCUGUAGUCGGUCCCAAGGGUUGGGCUGUUCGCCCAUUAAAGCGGUACGCGAGCUGGGUUCAGAACGUCGUGAGACAGUUCGGUCCCUAUCCGUCGUGGGCGUAGGAAAUUUGAGAGGAGCUGUCCUUAGUACGAGAGGACCGGGAUGGACAUACCUCUGGUGUACCAGUUGUCGUGCCAACGGCAUAGCUGGGUAGCUAUGUGUGGACGGGAUAAGUGCUGAAAGCAUCUAAGCAUGAAGCCCCCCUCAAGAUGAGAUUUCCCAACUUCGGUUAUAAGAUCCCUCAAAGAUGAUGAGGUUAAUAGGUUCGAGGUGGAAGCAUGGUGACAUGUGGAGCUGACGAAUACUAAUCGAUCGAAGACUUAAUCAA